GACGAACGCUGGCGGCGUGCUUAACACAUGCAAGUCGAACGGAAAGGCCCUGCUUUUGUGGGGUGCUCGAGUGGCGAACGGGUGAGUAACACGUGAGUAACCUGCCCUUGACUUUGGGAUAACUUCAGGAAACUGGGGCUAAUACCGGAUAGGAGCUCCUGCUGCAUGGCGGGGGUUGGAAAGGUUCGGCGGUUGGGGAUGGGCUCGCGGCUUAUCAGCUUGUUGGUGGGGUAGUGGCUUACCAGGGCUUUGACGGGUAGCCGGCCUGAGAGGGUGACCGGCCACAUUGGGACUGAGAUACGGCCCAGACUCCUACGGGAGGCAGCAGUGGGGAAUAUUGCACAAUGGGCGGAAGCCUGAUGCAGCAACGCCGCGUGCGGGAUGACGGCCUUCGGGUUGUAAACCGCUUUCGCCUGUGACGAAGCGUGAGUGACGGUAAUGGGUAAAGAAGCACCGGCUAACUACGUG
rnacentral:rRNA from 1 species